AAGGGAAUAGGAAGUGGCAGAAGGGUCUCGACAAUGGAGAGGAUUUUCCGUCGGAUCUUUGGAUGGCCUAACGUCAUUCGUUUUGCAUGAAAAAUUGAGGAGGUGUUCUACUCGAUGAGAGGAACGAUUCUAUAAUGGCCGAUCUUGUUUUUAAUGGUCUGAUUCGUAGAUAUGUGGUAGGGAACCUAAUCCUAAAACUUUAAUUAAAUAUGUUUUUUCUUGAAAAAAAAUUAUAGAUCUUGUCAUUUUGAGUUAAAUAGGUAAUGUUUGUGUUGUAGGAAGUUUAUUGGAUGAUUGAGAAUUUUUUUGAAAUUUUUGUGAUGUUGGGAAAUUUUGUUUGGUUAAUAAAUGAUUGUUUUCGGGUUGUUAAAAUUUGUGGAAUGUUGAAAAAAUAUAAAAUUGUGGCAUAUGAUAUAAUUUAUUGAUAUGUGAAUUUUUGAGAAAUUUUUGGAAUAUUUUUGGUGAUUUUAUUAUGAAAAAAUAAUCAUGUUUGAUUAUUAGAAAUUAUUGGAAUGAUUGGAAAAUUAUAAAAUUGUGGUAUAUGUUAUAAUUUAUUGAUAUGUGAAUUUUUGAGAUAUUGCUGAAAUAUUUUUGGUGAUUUUAUUGUGGAAAAAUAAUCAUGUUUGAUUAUUGGAAAUUAUUGAAAUGGUUAGAAAAUUAUAAAAUUGUGUUAUAUGUUAUAAUUUAUUGAUAUGUGAAUUUUUGAGAAAUUUUAGGAAUAUUUUUGGUGAUUUUAUUGUGGAAAAACAAUUAUGUUUGAUUAUUGGAAUGGUUGGAAAAUUAUAAAAUUGUGGUAUAUGUUAUAAUUUAUUAAUAUGUGAAUUUUUGAGAAAUUGUUGGAAUAUUUUUUAUGAUUUUAUUGUGGAAAAAUAAUCAUGUUUGAUUAUUGAAAAUUAUUGGAAUGGUUGGAAAAUUAUAAAAUUGUGGUAUAAGUUAUAAUUUAUUAAUAUGUGAAUUUUUGAGAAAUUUUUGGAAUAUCUUUGAUGAUUUUAUUGUGGGAAAAUAAUUAUAUUGAAUUGUUCGAAUUGUUAGGAAAUUUUGGAAUUAUGGCAUGAUUGUAAUUCCGAUGAUAUUGGUGAUACAUAUGAAUGAGAGUAAUUAACCUCAUGGCAUGCAUUUGUAUCAUGGUUGUGUGAAUAAAUGAUAAAAAAUGUGAAAAAUGCAUGAAAUGGCAAAAGAAAGAGAAAAAUGAAUAGUGAUGAAAAGUAAAGACUCGUGUGAGGCGAAUUAAGAAGGGAGAUAGAUCUCUAGAGUGAAAGACCCAAAAGUUUACCUCAGGAAGAUUCCGAAUGAGGAGUGUAUUUGAGUACGAACACGUAUCCUUCGGUGAAAGCUCGAGAACAAUAGUGCAUUGUAUGAUUGUGUGUUACACAUUUAUAUGCAUUUUAUUUAAUUGUUGAAUAUUAUGGAAUUAUAUAUAAUAUUAGAGAUUAAAUUAUGUGGCUUGAUCAAUACUGUUGAGAUGCUUCUUUUGUAUUCUUUGGAACUUAGUAAUCUCCAUUAACCCUUGGGUGUUAGGCAUCUUAUUGAGCAAUGUGGAAUGUUCACCCAUUCAUUUUUAAAUGUUUUUAGAUAUAGAUAUCACUCUUGGGGAUCUACAGAUGGGGUAGGAAGGACUUUAGGAUGCCCCUAAAGCGGCCUAGUGGAGGGUGUUGUAUUUGUGGUGUUUGUGGUACUAGAUUUUGUUUUGAGCAAACUGUGGACUAUGUGCUAUAAUGAGACUUUAUUUUGAUUAAACUGUUCAACUGUGAACUUUUAUUUUUAUACUGUAAUGAUAAUUAUUAUAUCUUGUUGCUUUUGAGUAUUGAUUAGUAUGUUGUUAGUUGGUGGGAACUCUAGUGUGAUUUAUACGUAGAGAGAAAAAAAUCAGAGUGUUUUGGUUGAUUGUCAGCGUGGAGUAAGAGAAACUCUUAGGGUCAAACCUUUGACCUGGGGUCAUGGGCCAAAUUUUAGGUUGCUUGGAAUUUGGGUAAUGACAGUACCCCUUCAAGAUUGCAACACAUACAUACAAGUGCAAGUGUUUAGACAAAUAGUGUGUCCAUAGCAUCUCCCACAACCUCAUGGUUUUCUCAUAUUCAAAUUCUCUGUCAUACGUGCAAAAUUCACUUCAGGACAAAUUAAAUAAAUGUAAGAGUAACAUUUGUAGGGAUAGUAUAUUAUUUAUCUCGACAGUUUUUAGAGUCACACUACAUUAUUUAUCAACACAGAUAUCUGGAAAAGCAAAAGAAAUAUAUUGUAAUUUAAGGGUAUAUUUGGAAGUUCUCUUCCAAAAUAGUUUUCUAUUUUUUAAAACAAAAAAAAAUCUGAAAAAAAAAUUAUCAACAAAAAAAUUGAAAAUGGUUUUUUGUUAUUAAAAAUAUAAAAUAGGAUGUAAAUAUAUUUGUGUAGGCAAUUUCGGGCCAAAAUCCCCAUUAUGUCUCUUAACUCAUACUCUUUAAAACCUCCUUUGGGCACUUGCUUUUUUCAAAUUAUUCGUGUUUGAAAAUGGCUAAAGGAGUUGGUAAAUGCUAUGGAGGUGUUGGAUGAUGACAAACAUUGAUCAACUUUGUUUUAAACUCUUAUCAUAUUUAUUGAAAAAUCGAGUGGUUACUUAGGGAGUGUAAAACAUAAUGUUUAAAUCAUUUUGAUCGAUUUCUGAUAAAUCAAACUUAAGGGUAAUAGUUUUUGCUAUGCCCAGUUCUUUUUAUUCUUCUCUAAUCGAUCAAACUUGAAUCACAUCUGCAUUCCUUCAACUUUUCAAAAUUAUUCUCAAUUGUUGGAUGGGUUUUAAAAUUACAAUACUUAAGUUUUCUUUUAAGAUGCAUGAAGGAUGGUUGCGAGAGUGAAAACCCUUUUUUUUAGCUUCAAUUUUUUCUUACCAAAUUAGGGAGUGUUUGCCUUGAGAGAAAAUCACUUGGGUUUGAGUUCAAAAUCAAUUUUUGAGUGAGAAAUUUUUGUUCCAAAUGGGUUGAUUCAUUGAAUUAUUCAUCUUUGCUCUCAUACUCAACAUAUUUGGGGUAGAACCCAAGUUUCUUCUUGCAUGGAUUCAAGAAGAGGCUAAUAUCAAAGCUUGAAGUGGAUUCCAAGUAUUUUCCAAAAUAAGAAAAGUAGUAAUUGAAACUUGAAGGUUCUAGGCAAGUGAUCCAAGAAAGGAUGAAAUGUUUGGGCUCGGUAAAUCCUUGAACUCAACUAAUUUUUUUUUCCAUAGUAGAUUAUUUGAUUGCUUGAGGCCCGUGGUUCUUUUUUUUUUAUUAUUAUUAUUAUCUCUUCAAAGGUUUUCCACAUUAAAAAAAUUGGUGUCCUUGUCUAUCUAUUUUAUCUUGUCUCUUGAUUAGUAUUUCAUUAGAUUGUGAUAUUUUUUCAUUGAGUUAUGUUGAUUGUUUAAUUGGAGCAUGACCUGAAAUUUGACUAUUUGAACUUUGAAAGAACAAGAUAUAUUUCAGUUUUUGUUGAUUGAUGUCAAGAGACAUAUGAAAUUGAGUGUUUGUAUUGAUGUAAUGUCUUAUAUAUCAUGUUUGAGGAGUGUUGUUUUAUUUGCAUGUGUCUUGCAUUGAAUAACUCGUUUGGAAGAGUGUUGGUGAAUUCAAUAUUACUUGUGAUUUGCUUGUUAAUUCAUAGGAUUGAAAAAGAAGAUCAAUUCAUAGGAGAAAAACAAGGGAUUUGUAAGAAACUUUCUCUAAUUGUUGCAAAAACACCUAUUCACCACCCCCCUCCCUCCCACCCCUAUGUGUUAUCCAUAGGUGAGAUUCAUUUCCAAUUGGUAUCAUAGUGGAUCUUAAAGCAAAAAAUUAUUUUCUAUCCUUGAAUGUCAAAUAUGGGACCUCAUUUUUUAACCGGAGAAAAUUAUUCUCAUUGGAAAGUGAGAAUGCAAUAUUUUCUCAAAAUGAAAGUGAAAAAAAAUAUGAAACAUGGUUGAAUUUGGUAGGUCUACUACAUAGUUAAUUAAAUGGUGAUUGUGUGAUGAUUGGCUUGAAAACUUGUGGUAAUUGCUAUAUUGUUAGUCAAACCAUUGAGGGUGAUAAGGUAUAUCGAUUAAACUUAUAGUAACGCCAAUUAAAUAUUAAAUUUUAAGCUUCAUGACAACCAUGUAGUAAGCAACAUCAAGCUGCAUGUGCCUGCAUUUGAUAAUUAGAUAGUAGAAUAACAUAAAUCGUGAAUGAACGGAAAGAAAAAAAAAAAAACACGAUGAACAAACAGUAAAUCCAGGAACCUGAAUUUAUAAUGGUCUCACUUGCCUUAACCCAGCCGAACAAAAGAAAUACAAAAGAAAUAAUUAUGGAGCGGGCAUCUAACAACUCCACCAGCUUUCAAAAUAACAUUGAAAAUCAGUAAGGAUUAGAAACUCAGAACGUGUUAUUGUUGCCUAUAAAAAGAGUUUAGCCAAGGCACCGCUGAGACAUGAACCUUCAAGCUCACACAUUUAAACACCGUGGACAAAUAAAAAGUUAAGUGUCAAAGUUAUGAUACUAAACUAAAGCACAUCAGCAGUUCACAGCUUGCGAGCAAAGCAUCAAAAGGCAUAAAAGAAGAUUCAGAAAGUAAUAGUAGUGUACCUUAUUCAUUGAGAGGUAUCGCAUGACUACCUUUCGCUGUUUUGAGAAAAUUUUUCUGUUCAUAUAGAGAUUGUGCUUCUACAUGAAAGGGUAUGGCUCCAUAAACAAUUUUGGCAAUCGUUUUUCAGUUAACACUGCCCUUUGACAUGCCCUUGACUAGUGUGUGCAGCUUUCAUAAUAAGGUGGCCCAGCAGGUUUGAGACUGGAUUUUACCUAAUACAUGGCUCAUGGGCCGGGGAAGCAUCAUGUAUCCGGAGCUUAUAUCUUCCACAUGAGGUGGGGAUUGGAGAGACAGAGAAAACUUUGAUAUUGCAAAAAGUUGAGUGUGCAUGCCAUUUUGGUCUCGAUUGAAAUUUGGCCCAAGGCGUUCCAUCAGAGCCACAGAACACCAAAAUGAUUCCGCCUCAUCGUUCACUACAAACAAUAUUGGGUACCGAAGAUCGCUCAUACCCUAUAAGACACAUAGAGGUUCUUAAUAAGCAAGCUCCAACUGUUGAUACGGUAGAUUGUAGAUCCAUAUAUAGGAGUUAAACCCUAUGGAUAGGGAUCUAUAUCAUGUAAAUAUAUAGCCUCCUCUCCAGCCGCCUUAGAUGUUUAUGGUAUUACGUACACUUUAGAAUAGGUUCAGUAGAUCUUUGAUUAAUAAAAUUCUCACAGUACCAUGUAGAUAUUUGGUGAUCGAUUCUGUAUGUUAUCAUCAUAUCCCAUGUAACGUGUUUUAUUUAGAAGCUUUUAAGUCACUGUUGCACAGCAGUGUGGUCUCAGGGUUCCACCAGUCUUCCAAAUUUCCAGUAUGGGUUGGUGGGGCCUCUCUUUGCCAUCUUUGGAAGAGCUCUGAUUCUCAUACAAUAUUAUAAACAAAACGAAGACUCU
rnacentral:lncRNA from 1 species